ACGGGAGGCAGCAGUGGGGAAUAUUGGACAAUGGGGGAAACCCUGAUCCAGCGACGCCGCGUGAGUGAAGAAGUAUUUCGGUAUGUAAAGCUCUAUCAGCAGGGAAGAUAAUGACGGUACCUGACUAAGAAGCCCCGGCUAACUACGUGCCAGCAGCCGCGGUAAUACGUAGGGGGCAAGCGUUAUCCGGAUUUACUGGGUGUAAAGGGAGCGUAGACGGCAUGGCAAGUCUGAUGUGAAAGCCCGGGGCUCAACCCCGGGACUGCAUUGGAAACUGUUAAGCUAGAGUGCAGGAGAGGUAAGUGGAAUUCCUAGUGUAGCGGUGAAAUGCGUAGAUAUUAGGAAGAACACCAGUGGCGAAGGCGACUUACUGGGCUGCAACUGACACUGAGGCACGAAAGCGUGGGGAGCAAACAGGAUUAGAUACCCUGGUA
rnacentral:rRNA from 1 species